UUUUGGGGGCUUGGGGAUUUAGCUCAGUGGUAGAGCGCUUGCCUAGUAAGCACAAGGCCCUGGGUUCGAUCCUCAGCUCAAAAA